rnacentral:rRNA from 1 species
CCUACGGGAUGCAGCAGUAGGGAAUAUUGCUCAAUGGGGGAAACCCUGAAGCAGCAACGCCGCGUGGAGGAUGAAGGUUUUAGGAUUGUAAACUCCUUUUGUUAGAGAAGAUUAUGACGGUAUCUAACGAAUAAGCACCGGCUACCCCGUUGCAGCAGCCGGCGCAAAAAGGAGGGGGCAAGCGGUACUCGGAAUCACUUGGCGUAAAGAAGGCGUAGGCGGGGUAAUAAGUCAGAUGUGAAAUCCUGUAGCGUAACUACAGAACUGCAUUUGAAAAUGUUACUCUGGAGUGUGGGAGAGGUAGGUGGAAUUCUUGGUGUAGGGGUAAAAUCCGUAGAGAUCAAGAGGAAUACUCAUUGCGAAGGCGACCUGCUGGAACAUUACUGACGCUGAUGCACGAAAGCGUGGGGAGCAAACAGGAUUAGAUACCCGAGUAGUC